rnacentral:rRNA from 1 species
CCUACGGGAGGCAGCAGUGGGGAAUUUUGGACAAUGGGCGCAAGCCUGAUCCAGCCAUGCCGCGUGCGGGAAGAAGGCCUUCGGGUUGUAAACCGCUUUUGUCAGGGACGAAACGCUCUGGGUUAAUACCCUGGAGUAAUGACGGUACCUGAAGAAUAAGCACCGGCUAACUACGUGCCAGCAGCCGCGGUAAUACGUAGGGUGCGAGCGUUAAUCGGAAUUACUGGGCGUAAAGCGUGCGCAGGCGGUUGUGCAAGGCAGAUGUGAAAUCCCCGGGCUCAACCUGGGAACUGCAUUUGUGACUGCACGGCUUGAGUGCGGCAGAGGGGGAUGGAAUUCCGCGUGUAGCAGUGAAAUGCGUAGAUAUGCGGAGGAACACCGAUGGCGAAGGCAAUCCCCUGGGCCUGCACUGACGCUCAUGCACGAAAGCGUGGGGAGCAAACAGGAUUAGAUACCCUGGUAGUCCACGCCCUAAACGAUGUCAACUGGUUGUUGGACGGCUUGCUGUUCAGUAACGAAGCUAACGCGUGAAGUUGACCGCCUGGGGAGUACGGCCGCAAGGUUGAAACUUAAAGGAAUUGACGGCGNGAGAGAGCGAGACGACGACGAGGGAGAGG